rnacentral:lncRNA from 1 species
CUUCCCUUCUCCACAAUAGGUCUUGGCCCUAUAGGAUCUUUAUUCAUUUUUAUAUAGGCAAAGAGGCUGGGGCUGUUACCUUCGGAUGUUUCCAUAUCUCUGGGAAUAAUUUAUGCCCUACAAUCCUAUCCACUGCCACUUUUAAUUGCACGGUAGGAUCUUUGUUAAGUAGCAUUGGUUGUGUUGUUUCUAUAUAAUCUUGGAGGAACUUAUCAUACCUUUGUCUUUCUAGGAGAACCAUUUUUCUUGUUUUAUCUUCUCUCAUUAGUGUAUUAAUUUUCCCUCAUCCACCAUAAUGUCUGUUUCAUAAGAUGACUUAUAUUGCUAUGCUGGGUCUGCUGUUCCUUAUGUUGAUUUUGCUUAGAUCUCUCAGGGAUGAAUUUCCAUCUUAACUUUUGUUUCUCAAGUUCUUGGUCCUCUAAAUUGUUUAGUACAUCCUCCACUACUGGUAUUUCAUCUAGCAAAGCCAAUUUAUUGAGUAUUACACAUAUUGGUCCUUUCAUAAUGAGCUCUUCGGCAUAUGCUGAUACUGCUAUAUUUCUCACCAUUAUUAGCGCUUUGUGUAAUUCUACUCAUGUUUUCCUCGAGUAGAUAUGCUGCUUCUUAAAUAUCCAUCUAAGCUUUUAUAUAUAUUUUCUCCUUAAUUUUUUCUUCAGUUCUUCAGCAUUUAAUUUUUAUUUUAGAAGAGUGGAAAUGUAUAUAAUGGAGAAGCAAGAUAUGGAGAGAGAGAUUAGGUAUAUAUAUAAAGUCUGGUAUGAGCAUGAUUAUAAUAAGCAAUUUUUAAAGAAC